rnacentral:misc_RNA from 1 species
GAAAUUGGUGUCCGAUAUAAUGCAUAGGUGGUUGGCAAUGUCCAGAUAUGCAUAUUACUGUAAGUUGCAAAUAUGAAUGCAUACAGCUGGGUAGAUUUUUGGUCUGUGGGUUACUUUUGCUUUCGUAUCACCACACACACACACACAUGUUGAUGGCAUGGUGUGCCAUCUGUUACAUUGUUUAUGCCUAUUUGCAAUUGCACCUACAUGAUGUUCUAUUGUUUACCUUUUCAACUCAAUGUCGUUGUUGCUAAUGCAGCAUGGAUCACUAUAUGCAAAA